AUUGAACGCUGGCGGCAGGCUUAACACAUGCAAGUCGAGCGGGGGAGGUUGCUUCGGUAACUGACCUAGCGGCGGACGGGUGGGUAAUGCUUAGGAAUCUGCCUAUAAGUGGGGGACAACAUUCCGAAAGGAAGGCUAAUACCGCAUACGCCCUACGGGGGAAAGCAGGGGAUAUUCGGACCUUGAGCUAAUAGAUGAGCCUAUGUCGGAUAAGCUAGUUGGUGGGGUAAAGGCCUACCAAGGCGACGAUCUGUAGCGGGUCUGAGAGGAUGAUCCGCCACACUGGGACUGAGACACGGCCCAGACUCCUACGGGAGGCAGCAGUGGGGAAUAUUGGACAAUGGGCGGAAGCCUGAUCCAGCCAUGCCGCGUGUGUGAAGAAGGCCUUUUGGUUGUAAAGCACUUUAAGCGAGGAGGAAGCUCUUAAGGUUAAUACCCUUGAUGAGUGGACGUUACUCGCAGAAUAAGCACCGGCUAACUCUGUGCCAGCCGCCGCAGUAAGAC
rnacentral:rRNA from 1 species